rnacentral:lncRNA from 1 species
GAAGAAGAUGAAGCAAAGGGGAGAGAGAGAACCUGGUCAGAUAUUUAAAACCAGAUUUCAUUAAAGAUCAGAGCUCUUGUGGGGACAGGGAUCAACUAUGCAAAUAAUGGAAAUGAUCUUCUAUGACCUAACAAGACUAUUUUUGAGAAGAGGUCAUCAUCUGAGAUAACUAACAUGGGUGAAAUGCUGGAGAUGGGACUUGUCUGAUCAUCACUUGGAAGCACAUGCAAACAGCUUUCAUCUACUGUGAGCUGAGCUACCACAUAAACCAGGAGCGGUAGGACAUCAAUGUGGCACUAGAAGAGUGCUUCUUGAAGACAGGAAAGACAGAAACUAAUAAGGAGAAAAGAAGGCAGAGAAAUCCACAUAAUCAGACAUGUGAAAUGAAGACAUUUCAAGUAAGACUGAAACAGUUUUUAAAAUGAAGUUUGUUUGAUUUCUUCUUUUUUCCCCUU